rnacentral:ncRNA from 2 species
AGAGACCGCGGGGGGAGUCCGGGGCAACCGGGCUGAGAGGGCGACUGGGACGGCGUCGCCGACCCCCAUCACCGGAUCCGGAUCAUGCCGGCGUCGGGAAUGCGGUCGCAUGGCGAG